GGUUAAGUUAGGAAGGGCGCAUGGUGAAUGCCUUGGUACUAGGAGCCGAUGAAGGACGGGACUAACACCGAUAUGCCUCGGGGAGCUGUAAGUAAGCUUUGACCCGGGGAUUUCCGAAUGGGGCAACCCAAUAGUUUUAAUCGACUAUUAUCCGCAUCUGAAUACAUAGGAUGUGUGAAGGUAAACGUGGGGAACUGAAACAUCUCAGUACCCGCAGGAACAGAAAGAAA
rnacentral:rRNA from 1 species